rnacentral:rRNA from 1 species
AGCGAACGCUGGCGGCAGGCUUAACACAUGCAAGUCGAGCGGGCGUAGCAAUACGUCAGCGGCAGACGGGUGAGUAACGCGUGGGAACAUACCUUUUGGUUCGGAACAACACAGGGAAACUUGUGCUAAUACCGGAUAAGCCCUUACGGGGAAAGAUUUAUCGCCGAAAGAUUGGCCCGCGUCUGAUUAGCUAGUUGGUGAGGUAAUGGCUCACCAAGGCGACGAUCAGUAGCUGGUCUGAGAGGAUGAUCAGCCACAUUGGGACUAAGACACGGCCCAAACUCCUACGGGAGGCAGCAGUGGGGAAUCUUGCGCAAUGGGCGGAAGCCUGACGCAGCCAUGCCGCGUGAAUGAUGAAGGUCUUAGGAUUGUAAAAUUCUUCACCGGGGGAAGAUAAUGACUGUACCCGGAGAAGAAGCUCCGGCUAACUUCGU